AAUGAUUAAUAUGAUGAUUAUUACUUCAAGGAAAUGAUAAAGAAAUGAUCAUAAAUGUUCUUCCUUGAGCUGCGUCACCCCGCUGUAGUCCGUAAUGGACUGGCCUGAGGUCUCGCUACAAACAAGCGGCUGCUGGAAGAGAGUAGGUGAGUUGUGUUUAGUCUCUUUGCUAAAGAAAUGAGUCAAAGUUAAAAAGAUGUUUGGUGGCUAG